rnacentral:piRNA from 1 species
UGACUGUGCAAACCGGGCAUGAUGGCGCAC